rnacentral:lncRNA from 1 species
AAAACUUGCAAAUCUGGUUUUUCAUGUGCCAUUGUACUGAACUGGAAUACUUCUACCAGAAAAAUCAAAAGAAAACUUUUAAAAAACAAAUCCUGGACUGGUGUGGGUCUACUGGACCCUCUGUGAUGCUCAGAUGAAGCAGCAGAGAUCAUGACUUACUUGGGGUCCCAGGCAGUGAUGGAACUGGGAUUUGAACCGGAGUCACCUGAAUAUUUAACAACUAGGUCAGGCUGUA